rnacentral:rRNA from 1 species
UGACGGUACCUCUUGAAUAAGCUCCGGCUAACUACGUGCCAGCAGCCGCGGUAAUACGUAGGGAGCAAGCGUUAUCCGGAUUUACUGGGUGUAAAGGGCGUGUAGGCGGGACUGCAAGUCAGAUGUGAAAGCACGAGGCUCAACUUCGUGUCUGCAUUUGAAACUGUAGUUCUUGAGUGCUGGAGAGGCUAACGGAAUUCCUAGUGUAGCGGUGAAAUGCGUAGAUAUUAGGAGGAACACCAGUGGCGAAGGCGGUUAGCUGGACAGUAACUGACGCUGAGGCGCGAAAGCGUGGGUAGCAAACAGGAUUAUAUACCCUG